ensembl:lncRNA
UUUUUUUUUUUUGGUCUUUUUGUCUUUUCUGGGACCACCCCCGCGGCAUAUGGAGAUUCCCAGGCUAGGGGUCAAAUCGGAGCUGUAGCCACCAGCCUACACCACAGCCACAGCAGUGCGGGAUCCAAGCCUGUCUGCAACCUACACCACAGCUCAGAGCAACGCCGGAUCCUUAACCCACUGAGCAAGGCCAGGGAUCAAACCCGCAACCUCAUAGUUCCUAGGCGGAUUCAUUAACCCCUGAGCCAUGACAGGAACUCCUGAAGGAUUUGUUUAUUCACUAUAAUUCAAAUUCAGAUAAAGAAUCAUUUGCAGAUUUAAAAUGUUCUCCUCCAAUAUUUCACACUGUAUUAUGUUUUUUUAAUUCUUAUUCUGUACUGUGUUGUCUCCUCUUCCACUCUCCACAAACUCACAUCCAAACAAGGAAGAGCAGGAGAAGAAAGAGUAGAAAGAAAGCACUACUGAAUACUGACUUUGAAAGCACUGUUCUGGAUAUCCUAGUGGUUUAUGAGAAAUAGUUUGUAGCGUCUCUGUAAUCAAAGAGGUCAGUGUGUUUUAUUUCCAUGUUGCUUGAUUCCAUAGGCCUAUUGCUUAGCAAUCAAAAUACAUUAUAUAUAUAAUUACAAACACAGCUGGAGACUACGAGGUUCUAGGUAACCCUGUUCCUAUCGUAGAGCAGAAAGAUUUCCCCAGGCUGAGUUUUUUUUUUUUUUUUCCAAUGACAUGUGCAAGUUUAUUUACAUUUAUGCUACUGAUGUGUUCCUGAAUUCUAUGUUUUGGUUCCCCUGUAAGGAGAGGAUGUAAACAACAUCCAAUAUAUAGGAACACGAAGGAAAAUGAAGGUAGAAUGAACACACAUGUUAGUAACACAAUGUUACACCAUCGCUCUGAAGUCAGCACUUCUUUUUCAAUAACUGAGCAUCAAAUGUUUUUUUUUUAAUCAUAGAAAAAUUAAAACUCUCCUUGGAUGCUUUUCAAAUCAGUCAAUACCAUACACAGUGACUGAAUAGCAUCUACAUAUGUGCCAAGCUACUAUUGCUGGUACAGACGCUUAUGGUGAAUUAUCCUAUCUCUGCAACAUGUUAUUUGGAGGAAAAUUGGCACUAUCCGCAAGGAACUCUGGGUUUAAUUUGCAUCUAAAAAUUUUAAAUACCCAUAAUUGUACAUGGCUAGGAACAUUACCCAUGGCUAAUUUGCAUAUUGUUCCUAUUGUCCCUAAGAUGUGAGGACAUCUAACAAUAACUACUCUAUGCCACACAACGUUGUACACCAAACUGAGGCAAAGAUCACUCAGGGCUGAUGAAACGUGGCAUUGAUGACUUUGGGGGUCAUAAUGAACCACCAAACAGUUUAACACCCCUUUCGUCUCAUGCCCACUCAAUUUCCCUUUCGAGCACACCUCCUGCCCAAGCUUUUGCAGACUCAUCCCAGGACUGUCUGGCUCAAUUAUCUUGGUCCUAGGUGUCUAUAAGCAGAAGCACACUGCAGAGGUUCAAAGGGCUCAUGGGCUAUCCGUCAGGCCAAUUCUAUUUCAAACAUAAAAAAAUCAUGUGCACUCUGAUCAAAUUGACUUUUUCUCCCUCCUUAUGUGUCUGUCAGUAGCACAAAAGCUGAAGCUCCUUCCAUCUUGAGAGUCUGACUUCAUGCUCCUUUAAUGUAACAGUCCUUUCACUAAAUCCUUUCUCAGGCUCAUUGGCUGCUUCUAUUGAAAAUACUCUAACCUUGUAUCCCUUUCUUAUUAUGAAUAAAACAGUUACCCAAACCCUAAUGCUAAGAAAUUUUCAUAGUUCUCCAGAACUUUCAUACCACAACUCUGCGUCAACAGUAAAAAAAUGAAUCAAGACUCUGGAGGAAAAAAAUUGUGCUUCAAAGGAAAAACUAUGCAUUUUCUACACCACAUCUCCAUUUUAUCUGCUUAUGAUUCUAUGGCAGUUAUUCUGUAUCUCUGCAAAUUAUAGAUAACUGAUAGCAAUGAAAAAUAAUUCUUAUAUAUAGAUAUGCAAAUCUGCUCUGUCCAGAGUUAAUCAACCUCCCUCCUUCACUGUGGAGAAGCCAGGAUAUUCUUUUGAAUCUGAUAAAACAUCUACUUGACUUCCUCAUUCAUUCGUGAGUUAAAUGAAAUCUUAUUUUAUAUUUUCAUGGAAGUCACGCUUUUAUCUUUUUUAAAAUCACAAUUUAACAGCUGCAAAUGAGAAAAAAUAAGCAUAACAAGGUUAUUGAUCAGGGAAUUUAUAAAAAUGAGAUGAUGAAAGAGGACAUAUCCAGCAAGAGGGAUCAAGACUCAUUUCUCUCAUGCUUUUCUUAAGCAUUAACAUGCCAUAAUUUAGGAGGAAUGAAAAUAAAGAGUUAUUUAAUAAUUUUCUCUAAAAGUAACAUCACAUUUACAUUCAUAUUGGAGAGGCUUGAUGGAAAUAAAAUGUGCUGGUUAUACGUGAUGGAAAUCAUUUAAGUGUGCUGGUGAGUAAACCACUGUCAAAGCCAAAACUGCACCAAAGUUAGGCAGGUAAGGAGGAAUUUUUUCAAGACUAUGGAAACAGGGAAGACAGAUAGUCUGAACUCAACUCCACCAAAACAAUGGGUAGGAGAGUUUAAAAGCUGGGUUGGUGUAUGUUGCAGAUCAUCUGUGUUUGCCAGCUGCCCUCAGCCAAGGAAAGCGGAGGCAGAGGGAGAUUCACCCACAGAGAGAAGAAGGCAAUGCAAAGACAGAGCUACCAGAGGUUCGAAGACCUUGGCCUUGAGGUCUAGAGUGACGAAGCCAUAAGCCAAGGAUUACCAAUAUCCGCUAGAAGCUGACAGAGACAAGGAAAUUAUCCUCCCCCAAGGCCUCCCGGGUGAGAACAGCCCAGAUGACACCUUGAUUUUGACCCAAUGAUACUUAUUUCUGACUUCUGACCUCCAGAAUUACAAGAGAAUAAAUUUAGGUUGUUUUAAGCCACCAAGUCUAUUGUAACUUGUUUCAGCAGCCACAGGAAACCACUACUGAUUUUGGUACCAAGGAGAGGGGAACUGCUAUAACAAAUACCUGAAAAUGUGGAAGUGGCUUUGGAAUUGGUAAUGGAUGAAGGGUAUAAGAAUUUUGAGGCACAUGGUAGAUAAAGCCUACAUUGCUUUAAAGAGACUAUCGAUAGAAAUAUAAACAUUACGGACAAUGCUGGUGAGAGCUCAGAAAGAAGGGAGAAGCACAAGAGAGGAAGUCUUUAUUAUCUUGGAGAACAUGUGUAUGGUCAUAAACAGAAUAUUGGCAGAACUGUGAACAUUAAAGGUGGCACUUAAGAGUCUCAGAAGCAAAUGAGAAACAUCCUAGUGGAAAAUGGAAAACAAGAAAUACUCACUAUACAGUAGCAGAGAGUUUCACUGAAUUGUGACCUACAGUUCCGUAGGAAACAGAACGUGUGAGUGAUGGAUUCAGGUAUUUAGCCGAGGAGAAUUCCCAGCAAAGCACUGAAGAUAGAGCCUGGCUUCUUCUUGCUGCUUAUACUAAAAUGCUAGAGCAAAGAGACCUACUGAGAAAAGAAUCAUCAAGCCAAAAGGAAGCAGGACUUGAAGAUUUUGGAAACUCCCAGACUAUCCCCAUUGCAGAAGAUGUGAAAAUGAGACACUUUGGUGCACAGCAGAAACUGGCACAACACUGUAAAUGAACUACACUUUAAAUUUAAAAAAAAAAUUUUUAAUGAGGAGAUUCACUAUUAGAAAAGCAUACUCCGAAGGCCAGAGGUAUGGAUGAAGAAGGUUUUGUCCGUGUGGAAGAGACCAAGCUUGAGUGAAGGGGAGCACAAGCGGGAGACUGGAUGAUCUUGGUGAGAGAUACUGGUGCACUGGUCCGGGACGUACCCAUGGUGGUCCAGCACUAGCGGUGAUGAAAAGUGGUUGGAUCCAAAUGUAUGUUGGAGACAGAACUGAUGCUAUUUUCUGACUCAAUGUAUAAACUUUGUGAGAGAGAAGACUUGAUUGUUUUAAAGCAUUGGGUCUGGGUAAUUGACAGGAUAAAGACGACGUUUCCUGAGAUAUAGGAAAAUACCAGGAGCUCAGUUUUUAGCAUAAGAGAUUGAUGUUUCCAUUUGGAAAAGCCAGUGGAGAGUCCGGAAAGGUAAUCGACUAUAGGAGUCCAGAGAUCCGCAUCUGCGUCCAGAUGCUAUAAAUCUGGAGUCCUAAAUAUAGAGAUAACACCUAAAGCUGUAAUACUACUGGAGGAGGUCUUUGGGAAGGAACUGUAGAUACAAAAUAGAACAGGUUUAAAACCUGAGUCACGGGAGCCUGCAAAAUUAAAAGGGCAAGAAGAGGAUGAGGGAGCAGCAGAGAAGACUGAGAAGGAGUGGGGUUGGAGAAAAACCAGGAGUGUGUAGAGUUCUGCUAAUCAAGUGAGGAAAGUGUUUCAAGGAAGGAGUAAUCACAAAAGUCUCAAGAACUGCUAAAGAGGUGAGUAAGGAGAGGAUGAGAUGUGUUCACGGGAUUUAGCAGCCUGGAAGCACUGGGGAUGCUGACUAGAGAACAUGUGAGAAUACUGGGGAUAGAAGUUUGACAUGGCGAUUCCAGUGGAGGAUAAGAGAGAGAAUUUAAAGAUAGCAUAUACAGGAAAUGAAAUGAAAUGGACUGGAAAGUCAAUUAAUUUUGCUUUUUAAAAAAAAAAAUCCACAAAUUUGGCCAGAAUAAGCUCAUUACCAACUUAAAAAAGUUUUGCUAAGAGGCACCAGAUGGCUAGAGGUAUGGAGGAAAUGAGUAACCAACAUGGAUCAUUCAAUUAGAGAGUUUGCUAAUUAAAGAAAGAGAGGUAGUAAGUGCAUGGUAAUUUCCAAGAGCUAAGGGGAAAGCACAUGCGAUUGUUUUAAUCUGUUAAAUCUGUUAAGCCUGUGAGGUAAAAACUAAGAGAGGAGACUGAAUGGGGUUCUUAAAGAGUUGAAAGUGAGGAGAACAAAAAAAGCAAAGGUAAAGAACUGACUUUAGAAAAAAAGCGAGUAUUUCUUCCUCAGAAACAUUAGGGACAGAAGAGCACUGCACACCAGGCUUUCUCAGUCACAGACUGUUGACAUUUUGACCUGGAAGACUGUUUGCUGUGGGAUGGCUGCUCUGUGUGUUAUUCAAUAUUUAGCAUUCCCAGUCUACUCACUAGAUGCCAGUAGCACUCUCCCCAUGUCUGGACAGCCCCAAAUGUCCCCAGACAUUGCCAAUGUCCCCUCGGGGCAAAAUCACCAUGGCUGAUUGAUUUAGAGAUAAGCUGAAGAGCAGGGAAUUGCACUCUGUGCUCCAGCACCGUGAGAAACUGGAAUGGUAACUGCAUCCAAGGUAUCAGAACAAGCUGAGGGAUUAAGAGAACUGGGAAGAAUUCUUAAUAACAAUAGAUACUAUGGUGGCUUUGUUUUGCGUCGACUCAGCUCACUGGAACUGUUCUUGCCAGGAUACUCUUCCUUGAAUAGUUCUAAACUCCUGUGGGCCACAAGAGACAUUUUAUGUGAGAUUUAGAAGGUGGAAGGAAACAGCCCCCACCUUCGAUUCAUGCUGGAAGGCAACGCAAGGUACCAGGCACAGCUGCAGCGCACACACAAUGUCACUCAUCUGCUGGCUCACCAUGGAGUGAAGCCACAGCCAGGCCACAGCUCCUCCAGGUCCACCCACUCCUGUAAUGAGGUGCCUCUUUAGCUCUGUGGUAAAGGGAGCCAGCUGCCCCAGCCAGGAGGUCGUCCACUUCAUUGAAGCUGGAGGCCAGGCCCAGCGAGAGACCCACCUGGUUCCAUUUCAGCUCUGACGGCUCCAGCCCAUCCUUGCGGUUUCCAGUGUACACUUACUCUCCCCUGCUUCUUGUCCAUCUUUCUUCCUAACUGCCAGUCCUGCUGACUUCAAGCUGCAGCAUCCAAUACGGAGGCAGUAACUGUAUAUAAACUCUCCGAUGCGAUUUCUCCAUUAUCGCAAGUCAAAUCCCACAUUCUUUCCCACUUGCUCACUUAACUGCUAUAUGUCAGGUAUAACAAUGCUAUAAAUUAUGUCUUAGUAUUCUUAUUUUAUAGAUGAGGAAAGAGAGUCAGGAAGACUAAUAAACUGUGUCAAAGUCUCACAGUUUGUAAGUGGCAGACACGGAGUCUGAACAACAUUCACCUUGCCUUAAGUUCUCUCUUCUUCCAUCCUACCAGUCUGCACUGCUGGCCAUUAGCAACUCCAAGAAGGAAGGAGGGGUAGCACCCCUAUGUUCACAGCAGCACUAUUCACAAUAGCCAAGAACAACCUAAAUGUCCACUGACCGCUGAAUGGAUAAUGCUGUGGUACAAUGGAGUAUUACGCAGCUAUAAAAAAAAUGAAAUAAUGCCAUUUGUGGGAACAAGGAUGAACCUAGAGAUUAUCACACUAAGUGAAGUAAGUCAGACAGAGAAAAACAAAUACUAUAUGAUAUCACUUAUAUGUGGAAGAUAGACUAUGACACAAACGGUGUUCCCUGGUGGCUCAGUGGGUUAAGGAUCCAGAGUGUUCACUGCUGUGGCUGUGGUUACUGCUGUUGCAUGGAUUCGAUUCCUGGCCUGGGAAUUUCUGCAUGCCAUGGGCACAGCAAAAAAAAAAAAAAUUCACAAAUAAACUUAUCUAUAAAACAGAAACAGACUCAUAGACAUAGAGAAAAGACAUGUGCUUGCCAAGGGGGAGGGAGAGAGGAGAGGGAUGGACCGGGAGCUUGGGAUCAGCAGGUCUAAACUAGUAUAUAUAGAAUGGAUAAAUAAGGUCCUACUGUAAUAGCAGAGGGAACUAUAUUUAAUAUCUUAUGAUAAGCCAUAAUUGGAAAGAAUAUGAAAAAGUAUAUGUAUAUGUAUUACUGAAUCACUUUGCUGUACAGUAGAAAUUAAUACAUUGUAAAUCAACUAUACUUCAAUAAAAUGAAUUUUAAAAAAGAAAUAAGGAGGGAUAGAACUCUUUAAAAUUAAUGACUUUGGCCUAUUGGUAAAUGACUCUAUACUGUUUUCUAAUAAUGGUGGGAAAUAAAUAAAAGCCCUUUUCAAGAUAGCAUUUAAUAAUGUUUUAGAGGUAGACGGCACAAAACUUAGAGAUAAAAUUUACUUGCUCUUCACAGUUCUAAAAUAAGAAGAGUUUCAGUUUUCCAUUUUCUAUUACUGCCUAAUGCCUCUGAGACACUGACAUUUGGUGGCAGCAGAUGUCCUGGAAGUUUAGAAGGAAGCUUCAUCAAUCCAUCAACACUCAGUUUAAUCAGGACUAGGAUAGAGCAGGGUUUUAUGACCAU